GUAGGAUCGGGUGAGGAACUCAGGUCCUGGCCGCACCUCGCACCUGGGAGGAAGGUAGACCUGAGUCACCUGCAGUGUGUGGUCCCAGCAUACAAGGUCAGAUCCCUCCCCAGUGACACCCAGCAUAUGGGAGCAGAGGGGCAAGCAUGGGUGGGAGCAGCAUCAAAGGCAAGAGCCUCCCACAGCCAAUGGCCACCCUUGAGUGAUUUUAAGACAUCGGCGUUUCUUAACAAAAACGUGGCACUGUUGGAGAGAGGCUGUUGAGCUCUGUGCCACAUGCCUCUUUGGGCCAGGCUAUUGUUGAAGCAGCAACUGGAACAGGGAAUUACAGCAUGGGAACAUUAGACUCGCCUGUCGCCCGCCAUAAGGACAGUAAUUCUGUCACUUACCUCAUUUCCCAUAACAACGGAUGUUAUUGGCUUAGGGAAUGUGUGAACACUCAGCUAAAUCCUGAAGACCUCUGCAUGCACACAUAUAUAUGUACAU